rnacentral:rRNA from 1 species
AGCGGCGGACGGGUGAGUAACGCGUGGGUAACCUGCCCUGUACACACGGAUAACAUACCGAAAGGUAUGCUAAUACGGGAUAAUAUGCUUUUAUCGCAUGGUAGAAGUAUCAAAGCUCCGGCGGUACAGGAUGGACCCGCGUCUGAUUAGCUAGUUGGUAAGGUAACGGCUUACCAAGGCGACGAUCAGUAGCCGACCUGAGAGGGUGAUCGGCCACAUUGGAACUGAGACACGGUCCAAACUCCUGCGGGAGGCAGCAGUGGGGAAUAUUGCACAAUGGGCGAAAGCCUGAUGCAGCAACGCCGCGUGAGCGAUGAAGGCCUUCGGGUCGUAAAGCUCUGUCCUCAAGGAAGAUAAUGACGAUACUUGAGGAGGAAGCCCCGGCUAACUACGUGCCAGCAGCCGCGGUAAUACGUAGGGGGCUAGCGUUAUCCGGAAUUACUGGGCGUAAAGGGUGCGUAGGUGGUUUCUUAAGUCAGAGGUGAAAGGCUACGGCUCAACCGUAGUAAGCCUUUGAAACUGGGAAACUUGAGUGCAGGAGAGGAGAGUGGAAUUCCUAGUGUAGCGGUGAAAUGCGUAGAUAUUAGGAGGAACACCAGUUGCGAAGGCGGCUCUCUGGACUGUAACUGACACUGAGGCACGAAAGCGUGGGGAGCAAACAGGAUUAGAUACCCUGGUAGUCCACGCCGUAAACGAUGAGUACUAGCUGU